GGUUCAUUUAGGAAUAAGUAGUAUAGGUUGUACAGAAGGGAGGGACGAACUAUACAGCAUGCAUAGCUGCCACGUGUUCCACUCUAGUAUUAUAUUUUUAUUAUAUUAGAAAUGGGAGUUGGGGUGUACGAACAGGGGUAUUUUGGUUCAUUUAGGGAUAAGUAGUAUAGGUUGUACGGAAGGGAGGGACGAAGUAUACAGCAUGCAUAGCUGCCACAUGUUCCUCUUGCUGGACACGUAUACUAACUCUUUAACCGUCUCCAUUCACUUCUUUCAUGCCCACUACCUUGCUUUCUCCAUUCCCUCUUCUUUUUUUCUAACUGAUCCUCCCUCAAGAUUGAAAUAUAAGUCGCAAAGAAGAAAGAAUUUGCAGCUAAGGAUUUGAUUUGAGUAAUGUGAGCACAAUAUUAAAGAAGACGAUGUUCAGAUGGUUAACAACUAAGGAACCUGAAGAAGAAGCACAUGGGCCCCCGGAUUUAUCAAUAUUUCCAAUUUUACAAGACAAGUACAACAUUUAUCAAUCAUGCAAAGUGAAACAGGUCUUAGCUUCAGUGAAAUAGGAAGGACAAUUGCACAAUUGUAUGCUCAGCGGAAGGAAAGUCAUCGCAAGUUGAUUUCACCAACGUGAAGCCGCAAGCUCUAGCCUCCAGUUAACUAGAGCUAUAGAUUAUUUGUUUAGCUGGUUUUUCAUUUUGGACUUAAUUCAAGAACUAGCUCAGUAAAUUGAAAGUGUAUAUUUUCUUUCUCCCACUACUAGAGUAGUCUUUACAAUUCUUUUAAGUGAACACUUCAUUUGGUUAAUUGCAAGGAAAGACAAAUGAAUAGAACCUUGUAUUCUCUAUGACUUCUGUACUUACCAAAAUCCUUUACAUUUUGUACUUUGAGUUUGCUGGUUAUUUUGUAAUUAAAAUUGACAUAGUUAAGUUUUA